CCCGAAAUGCAGGGAAAGAAGGUAGAAGCUCGUAGCAAAUUCGGGUGAAUUUCACAUGCAAGAGAAGAAGGUAGAAUUUAGAGUGACGACAAACACGCAAAAAUAAGAUAAAAUAAAGUAAAGUAAAUAAACUAAGAUAAAAAUAAAUAAAUAGAAUAAUGGACACUCAACAUGCUUCCCAAUAAUUAGAACAAAACAAACAAGUUGGGCAUAUGGACAAACUGCUAUUACAAACAAANNN
rnacentral:lncRNA from 1 species